GCAAAGGAGAAGAAAAGAGAAACCCCACUUACACGGAAAAUGCCUCCUAAUCCCCCUAAAUCAUCCGCCGCCUCCCAUCGCAUAACCCACUCCUCCACCGUGCCGGAGUUUUUCAAGCGCCAGAUUCAAACACGCGCUACCGCUGUUCCUGACGCGGUGGCGCGUUACCACAACCACGCUGUUUCCAUGAACCAGUGCUGCUCCGCCGUCGUUCAAGAGAUCGAUGCCCCGGUCUCCACCGUGUGGUCCGUCGUCCGCCGCUUCGACAACCCGCAAGCGUACAAGCACUUCGUCAAGAGCUGUGACGUCAUCGUCGG
rnacentral:lncRNA from 1 species